UACGAAGGGUGCAAACGUUGCUCGGAAUUAUUGGGCGUAAAGGGCUCGUAGGCGGCCAACUAAGUCGGAUGUGAAAUCCCCAGGCUCAACUUGGGAACUGCAUCCGAUACUGGAUGGCUUGAAUUCGGGAGAGGGAUGCAGAAUUCCAGGUGUAGCGGUGAAAUGCGUAGAUAUCUGGAGGAAUACCGGUGGCGAAGGCGGCAUCCUGGACCGACAUUGACGCUGAGGAGCGAAAGCUAGGGGAGCAAACGGGG
rnacentral:rRNA from 1 species